rnacentral:rRNA from 1 species
GACGAACGCUGGCGGCGUGCUUAACACAUGCAAGUCGAACGGAAAGGCCCUGCUUGCAGGGUACUCGAGUGGCGAACGGGUGAGUAACACGUGGGUGAUCUGCCCUGCACUUCGUGUUACGCCUUGGAAACUGUGUCUAAUUCCGGUUAGGAGCCAUUUUUAGUGUGAUGGUUGGAAAGUUUUUUCGGUGUUGGAUGUGCUCGCUGCCUAUCUGCUUUUUUGUGGGGUAAUGGCCUACCAAGGCGGCGACGGGUAGCCGGACUGCGUGGGUGGACGGCCACAUAGGGAAUGAGAUACGGCACAGACACCGACGGGAGGCAGCAGUGGGGAAUAUUGCAAAAUGGGCGCAAGCCUGAUGCAGAGACGCCGCGUGGGGGAUGACGGCCUUCGGGUUGUAAACUACUUUCGCUAGGGACGAAGCUUUUUGUGACGGUACCUAGAUAAGAAGCACCGGCUAACUACGUG